AAUUUGUCUGAUCAGGGGCUCCUUUGACAAUACAAGCACUCUAGCUUGCUUCUGUACAUAUAAAUAGCUUAAUCACCUUCCAUCAUCUUUAACAAAGUCUAUCGCUCAACAAACUUCUUAUGCAUCUCCGGGAAGACGGUACGGAAUUAACGGGGAAGAUCAGAGAAUGAGGUUUGCGAGGCUUCUUCUGGUACUAUUCAUGAUAGUGGGGAUAUUCUUGGCCGAGGGAACAAGUAUUGUGAAGAAGGAAGAUGAGAAGCUUAAAACCCUAGAAAAUCAACAGGACGGGGAUGGCGGAAGCUCUUUGAAUAACCAUCACUACAUCCCCAGGCAGGACUUCAAUGGUAAUAAUGGAGGAGAUCAAGGUGGACCUCAUUGAAUUCAAAUACAUACAUACAUACAUACAUACAUAUAUAUGUAUAUGCAUGUACGUAUAUGUGCAUGUAUGUUCCUGGUUUUAAUUGUCGUAGCGGGUCGUGUUUGUGCUAUGGUUGUACGGUGUGCUUCAGUUACUGUAAUCGGAAUCUGUAAUAAUUAAUUCUGUGUUCAAUGGAGAUCAGAAAAGUGUAAUAUUUGCUUCUAGUACUGCUGUUUCUUUACUUACCUAGUUAUAAGAGCUUGUUUUAUGUACCCUACCCUUCGGAGCUCGGACACGGAUCAAGAUGAGAUCAUCAUGAACACAUAAUUAUAUAUUCAAGCAAUUAUUACAUGCUUCAA